rnacentral:tRNA from 1 species
CCAAAAUCAGUAUAUGAAAGUACAAAACAAACGUAAUUCGCUCACUUGGCCCACGUAGGGCAUUUUGGG